GUCCAGAUUAGUGGUUUAUAAACUGAAUGUAAUUCCCCAUAAAGCGGCUUCAGCAGCUGUUGCAGCUCAUGUAGUGUGAGGCUGACAGAUGUUAAUCCCUGGGAGGGGCUAGGGGGUCUGCAAACUGCCCCCGCUCCACCGCUCACUGGCGCUGGUGUCUGACGGAGUAGAGCUGGUGGUGUCCGUCGGAGUAGAGCUGGUGUCUGACGGAGUAGAGCUGGUGGUGUCUGACGGAGUAGAGCUGCUCUCUGAAGGAGUAGAGCUGGUGGUGUCUGACGGAGUAGAGCUGGUGUCCGUCGGAUUAGAGCUGGUGUCUGAAGGAGUAGAGCUGGUGGUGUCUGACGGAGUAGAGCUGCUCUCUGAAGGAGUAGAGCUGGUGGUGUCUGACGGAGUAGAGCUGGUGUCUGAUGGAGUAGAGCUGGUGUCUGACGGAGUAGAGCUGGUGUCUGAUGGAGUAGCGCUGGUGUCUGACGCAGCAGCUGGUGUCUGACGUAGCGGCGCUGGUAUCGGGUGGUGUAAUGGGCGUGUUACUCGACAGCAGCUGGAUGAAGUUCGGUCCGGCGGAGCGAGACUCUCUGGAGUGGUCCCCCGGCCCCCCGCCCCCAACGGAGCGGCUGCCUGACCAGACCAGUCCGGGGGAGUCCCGCCUCGGCAAGCUGUCCGUCGUCUCGGUGGUCACGGCGACGGCGGCCUUGCUUCUCCUCCUGGGGGGGGUGCUGGGGCUGCUGGCUUGUCGGCGGCGGCGGGCCGGGGUUAGGAAGCCGGGCCUUCUGGCCAACGUGAUCGCCCUGGAGGACCUGGAGGACCUGGAGGACCCCGAGGUCCUGGAGGUCCUGGAGACCCUGGAGGACCUGAGAGACCCGGAGAGGAGCCGCGAGCUGCUCUCUUCCUGCCGCCGCAGCAACAGCCGGCGCUGGCGCACCUCCAGUGCCAGCUCGGAGGAGCAGGACCCGGCCGACGGGGUCUUCCUCAUGGUCUACCUCCCCUCCCCCUACCAACACACCCUCACACGGCUCGCCAGAGCCGCCAGCACCCGGAGCUCCCGCAGGUCCCUGGGGGCCUGGGGGGGGGCUAAAGACCUGGAGACCCCCCGAGACCCGGAGAGCCCAAAAGAGUUCCAGGCCUCAAAAGACCUGGAGAUCCCUGGAAUCCUGGAGACCCCCAAAGACCUGGAAACCCCGAGGGGCCUGGAGCCCCACAAAGUCCUGGAGACCCCCAAAGACCCAGAGACCCCCAAAGACCUGGAUAGCCCCAAAGAAUUUCAGGCCUCAAGAGACCUGACAACCUCACUGGAGACCCCCAGAGUCCUUGAGAGCCCCAGAGUCCUGGAGACCUCCAGAGACCUGGAGAAUCCAAGACUAAUGGAGAACCCCAGACACCAGGAGACCCCAAGAUACAUUGAGACCCUGGGAGACAUGGAGACACCAAGAAUCCUUGAGACCCCCCAAAGACCUGGAGUCCCCAAAAGAUCUAGAGACCCCCAGAGACCUGGAGACCUGGAGAGACCUGGAUAUCCCCAAAUGCCUAGAGAGCCCCAAAGAUCUGGAGUCCCCCAAAGAUCUAGAGACCCCCAGAGACCUGGAGACCUGGAGAGUCCUGGAGAUCCCCAAAUACCUACGGAGCCCCAAAGACCUGGAGUCCCCCAAAGAUCUAGAGACCCCCAGAGACCUGGAGACCUUAAGAGUCCUGGACAUCUCCAAAUACCUAGAGAGCCCCAAAGAGCUCCAGGCCUCAAGAGACCUGGAGACUCCCAAAUACUCCAGGUCUCUCCAGAGACCUGGAGAAUCCAUGAAUCCAAGACUCAUGGAGACCCCCAGAGACCUGGAGACUCCACUAGAGACCCCCAGAGUCCUGGAGACCUUGGGAGACAUUGAGACCUCCAGAGACCUGGAGACCUGGGGGAGACCUUGAGACCCCCAGAGACCUGGAGACCUGGAGAGACCCUGAGACCUCCAGAGACCUUGAAACCCCAAAAGACCUUGAGAACUCUGGAGGCCUGGGUACCUCGUUAGACUUGACCGAGGCAAACAGUGGAAUGCAGCAGGAUGAGAAGAUGUGAUAAUAAUACUGCUGUACUACUACAGUUCUAAUAUCACCUACUACAGAACUACUGCAGUACUACUUUUACCUAUUGCAGUACUACUAUCAACUACUACAGUACUACUGCAGUAAUACUAUUACCUAAUGUAGUAGUGUGAAGUCUUGAUUCUAUAGUGAACCCUGAGGUCUUGUUCAUAUAGUGAACCCUGAAGUCUUGAUUCUUUAGUGAACCUUGAAGUCUUGUGUCUAUAGUGAACCCUGAAGUCUUCUUUCUAUAGUGAACCCUGAAGUCUUGUUUCUACAGUGAACCCUGAAGUCUUCUUUCUAUAGUGAACCCUGACGUCUUGUUUCUAUAGUGAACCCUGAAGUCUUGUUUCUAUAGUGAACCCUGAGGUAUUGUUUAUAUAGUGAACCCUGAGGUCUUGAUUCUAUAGUGAACCCUGAGGUCUUGAUUCUAUAGUGAACCCUGAGGUCUUGACCUAUAGUGAACCCUGAGGUCUUGAUUCUAUAGUGAACCCUGAGGUCUCAUAUCUAGCCCUACAAGUGGAUUCUGUUGAUAUUGAACCUUCAUGGUUGAAGGCACUCAUUGUAAGUCGCUACGGAAAAAAGCAACAGCAAAAUAAAUGAAAUAACAAAAUACCUUAACAUUCUUUGUGAUGUGUUAAAUACCUUAUUAUACUUUGUUACGUGUUAAAAUACCUUAUUAUACUUUAUAAUAGCCAUGAAGGUACUAUGGACUUCAUGCUGAACGACUUGUGUCGUUUAUUGACUUAUAUUGUAUGAUGUGGAAUUGUCAAUGAUAUAUAUAUAUAUAUAUUUGUUUUAUGUAGAUCCGUAACAUGGAAGUCAGUGUUAAAGUAUUAAAGGAUUUGGCCUCGAA
ensembl:lncRNA